GUGCACAGAGUGGAUCUGCGGCUUAAUUGACUCAACACGGGAUACCUCACCUGGGCAUGACGUACAUAUGAAGGACAUAAUGAAGCUUUUUCCAAAUAGUGCGAUCCGUGGUGCAUGGCCGUCGCUAGUUCGUGGCUUGGGCAGUCCGGUUUAUUCCUUUAACGAGCAAGAUCUUCACGCUUAUUUAGCAAUCGAUGCGCAUUUGCGACCCGUGUCUCGCAAGGGACUGGGUCACCAGCGCAAAGAUCGGUUUCUGAUGCGAAGGUCCACCCAUGUGGGCGGCCACAGUCGAAAUGCUGGGUUGGGUGAGGCAACUCCCUUGCCCGGCACUGUUCCGUUCCUCACGGAGUGCUCACCUUCUUCUUACGCGGAUUCUGGCUUUCAAAGCCAUGUGAAAGGAAGUCCAUGACAGGUCCGUAAUGCCCGCAGACGUCUAGGGCUGCACGCGCGUUACAAUAGGCGGAACUGUGAGUUCGGCAGUUUGUGAUGUACGAUCCAAGUCCUGAGUCCUGUAAUAUGGGCUCGUCAUCAAGGGUGAGAAUCCCGCUCCUUCUUCGGAUGGACGGGUUGGAAAACUCGCAGUGCCAAAUCCCUCGAGAGGCAAUCGGGGCCUGUGGUCCUGAGCCCGUCUUAAUGGGGGUGCGGGCGGGAAUCGGGCGGAGGGUUCGCCUUUCGUCUCUCCCGCCUCAUUUCUUAGACAGGGAUUGAUUUUCUCUUGCAACUGUGUGUCAUUAACGAGGAAUUUUUAGUAAGCACGAAUCAUUAAUUCGUGCUGACUGCGUCCCUGCCCUUUGUACACACCGCCCGCUGCUA
rnacentral:rRNA from 1 species